UGCCAGACUCCUACGGGAGGCAGCAGUGGGGAAUAUUGCACAAUGGGGGAAACCCUGAUGCAGCGACGCCGCGUGAGUGAAGAAGUAUUUCGGUAUGUAAAGCUCUCUCAGCAGGGAAGAUAAUGACGGUACCUGAGUAAGAAGCCCCGGCUAACUACGUGCCAGCAGCCGCGGUAAUACGUAGGGGGCAAGCGUUAUCCGGAUUUACUGGGUGUAAAGGGAGCGUAGACGGCAUGGCAAGUCUGAAGUGAAAGCCCGGGGCUCAACCGCGGGACUGCUUUGGAAACUGUUAAGCUGGAGUGCAGGAGAGGUAAGUGGAAUUCCUAGUGUAGCGGUGAAAUGCGUAGAUAUUAGGAGGAACACCAGUGGCGAAGGCGGCUUUCUGGACUGUACCUGACGCUGAGGCGCGAAAGCGUGGGUAGCGAACGGGAUUAGAUACCCGGGUAU
rnacentral:rRNA from 1 species